GGCACUAUAGCCAAGUGGUUAAGGCGACAGAUUAGAAUUAGAAAUUAGCACCAUGAUUCUAUCUGUUACUCUCUGAGUGCGCAGGUUCAAAUCCUGCUGGUGUCG